ACCUGUCACCCCCAUGCUGACCGAGGCUCUGUCGGGGAGGCGGGGAGCAGGCUGGUGGCUGCCGCCCCUCCACCUCCAGUGCGCCUUUUGGCUAGGGCGGUAGAGGGCGCUGGAGAUGUUGGGGGCGCCGCCUGUGAUGUUGCCACCUCUGUGACGUCCCUGCCGCAACCUGGCUGUUAUGGAGCCCUGCUCAGGAUUCCCUGUGCGAGUGGCGGCGGAGGGAGUCGUCCUCCCAGAGCUGUCUGUCCGCAGCCAGAACUCCUCCCGAAGACCUCAGGGCUUUCGGCUCCAGCAGCAGGCCGCGGGUGAGCCUGGCGUCCGCAGGGCUGGACUGUGCACCUGCUCUGCCCACACCACACACAAGGUCACUGACCUUCCCGUGGGCCCACGACCCCUCCAAGGACCUACCUGCUGGAUCAACCCAAGGGACAGGCUGUCGAUGCUGAGGCAGGAGAGAAUCUGCUCCUGCUCCUCCAGAGAGAACGGCUGGGACAGACUGUUCAGGAAUAAUUCUGCGGGAAGAGUGGAAGGUGGCUGUGAAAGGCGGCGAGGAGGCCAGCUGUGUUGUCAGGUAUCAGUAGCAAAUUCCAAAACUACAGCAACAGCUCCAGAGGACUUUGUUAACAGAAAGAGAAGACUUACAAUGAGCCCCGAGGCAACAUCAACUCAAGAAUUUCCAGGAAAACUAGCUGCCCUGACCCACCCCUCUCCUGCCCCAUCCCCACAGUGGGUGCUUCCUGAGGGCACUGUUUCUCUGGCCUGGGGCAGCUCAGCCCUGGGGCCAUUCUUGUCAUUGCAUCACUGCCACCUGGCUUUGGUGAGGGGCUGUGCAAGCUCUCUCUUGUUUUAUUUAUUUCCUUUCAUUCCUCCCACCAUUCCUGCCCUGCUGUCCCCCAGGUGACAUUCUAUUAUGUUCCAUGUAGCACUUUUGAAUUGAUUGCAUGCCUGCAAAA